rnacentral:rRNA from 1 species
AACGUAGGGGACAAGCGUUAUCCGGAUUUACUGGGCGUAAAGCGCCCGUAGGCGGCCUGACAAGUUGGACGUGAAAGCUCCUGGCUUAACUGGGAGAGGCCAUUCAAAACUGUCAAGCUAGAGUCUGGAAGAGGAGAGCGGAAUUCCCGGUGUAGUGGUGGAAUGCGUAGAGAUCGGGAGGAACACCAGUGGCGAAAGCGGCUCUCUGGUCCAAAACUGACGCUGAGGGGCGAAAGCGUGGGGAGCGAACGGG